rnacentral:rRNA from 1 species
ACACGACUACAUUAGAUACCCGUGUAGUCCUAGCCGUAAACGAUACUCGCUAGGUGUCGGCCACGGUGCGACCGUUGUCGGUGCCGUAGGGAAGCCGUGAAGCGAGCCACCUGGGAAGUACCGGCCGCAAGGCUGAAACUUAAAGGAAUUGGCGGGGAGCACCACAAGAGGUGGAGGCUGCGGUUCAAUUGGACUCAACGCCGGAAACUCAUCGGGAGCGACAGCAGUAUGAUUGCCAGGUUGAUGACCUUGCUUGACAAGCUG